rnacentral:rRNA from 1 species
UACGUAGGGGGGCAAGCGUUGUCCGGAUUUAUUGGGCGUAAAGAGCGUGUAGGCGGCCUGGAAGGUCAGCUGUGAAAACUCGAGGCUCAACCCUCGAGAGGUCGGUGGAAACCGUCUGGCUAGAGUCCGGAAGAGGAGAGUGGAAUUCCCGGUGUAGCGGUGAAAAUGCGCAGAUAUCGGGGAAGAACACCCGUGGCGAAGGCGGCUCUCUGGGACGGUACUGACGCUGAGACGCGAAAGCGUGGGGAGCAAACAGG